AGUGAACGCUGGCGGUAGGCCUAACACAUGCAAGUCGAACGGCAGCACAGUAAGAGCUUGCUCUUACGGGUGGCGAGUGGCGGACGGGUGAGGAAUACAUCGGAAUCUACUGUUUCGUUGGUGAUAACGUAGGGAAACUUACGCUAAUACCGCAUACGACCGAAGGGUGAACUCAGGGGAUCUUCGGCCAUUGCUCGAUUAAAUGCUCCGAUAUCCGAUUAUCUAGUUGGCGGGUUAAAGGCCCACCAAGGCCACGAUCAGUAGCUAGUCUGAUAGGAUGAUCAGUCACAUUGGAACUGAGACAGGGUCCAGACUCCUAGAGUAAGCAGCAGUCCGGAAUAUUGGCCAAGGGGCGCCAGCAUGAUCCAGAAAUACCGGGGGGGUGAAGACGGCCCCCGGGUUGUCAAGCCAUUCUGUUGGGAAAGAAAAGCAGCAAGUUAAUCCCCCGCUGUUCUGACGGUACCGAAAGAAUAAGCACCGGCUAACUUCGUG
rnacentral:rRNA from 1 species